UACGUAGGGUGCGAGCGUUGUCCGGAAUUACUGGGCGUAAAGAGCUCGUAGGUGGUUUGUCGCGUUGUUCGUGAAAACCGGGGGCUUAACCCUCGGCGUGCGGGCGAUACGGGCAGACUGGAGUACUGCAGGGGAGACUGGAAUUCCUGGUGUAGCGGUGAAAUGCGCAGAUAUCAGGAGGAACACCGAUGGCGAAGGCAGCUCGCUGGGACGGUACUGACGCUGAGGCGCGAAAGCGUGGGGAGCAAACAGG
rnacentral:rRNA from 1 species